UCUUGUGUUAGUUCUAGUGAUAGUGCUAGUGCAAAACUAGAACUAACCCAAGAUCUAGAAGAGAUGUGCGGCUUCGCAACCUCAAUUUGAUUUUAAUGCAUGACGAUAAUCCUGAAGAUGAUUAUAUGAUCGAAACACAGAAACUCAAUGCUCACCUUGCUUUACGAAUAUAAAGAAUUUUUUUUAUUGAAAAAUAAAGUUGAUAAUAUCGAUAAUAAUUGGGUUGUCAUUGAAAGUUUUGGAAGAUGCCGAGACGUGAAUCAUGAAGGGUCCGCAAUAAAGUGUAGGAUUUGGACAGGCUUCCGUACGUUAAGGAAUGCAAGGAGGUAUGGCGAGGAUCCAAACGAGUACGGUGGAAGGUGAUGCGGACACGCAAUAAAAAGGACACGAUGGACUAUGUGAAGUGGUAGAAGGUGACCGGUAGUGGUUUGUCGUGGCGCAUCUGGAGUGGAAUUAAACAACGAAAAUAUAAAAUAUCGUUCUAUUAUGGCAUACUACUUUCCACGGCCUACCCACGCGACAAAUCAUUAAGCGGCCGGAGAAACCAUGUCGAGCGUUAGCCGACGUGUGUAGUCGAGCUCUCUGGCCCCCCUCGUCCUUCGUCUGUCAAGUAUCCCCGCGGUCGCCCCUGGAGCCCACAUCGUGCGUCUUUAACCACCCGAAGGUCCCACAGGAUGGACUCUUUCGCAACCCCCAUGUUCACGACGUACCCAAACACAUAUUACACCCUGGACGCAGUUAUCGAACCCGGGACGAUGCUGGGGGCUCUCUUUCGCACAUGUGCGCACUUCGAACCGAGCAGACGAAGAACAACGUGAGUGAGAUGGACGCACACGCGUAGGAGUCCCCAGCGCAUAUUUUAUUACUUAUUGGCAGUGCGCGAGUCUACCAGACCGCGACUUAGACCACGUAAUCUGCGACUUAAAUAUCGGCCCGAACGACGAUUUCUGGAACGCCUCCCGGAAAACAAUUACGUUGUUGUUUGUCAUCUGACCGUGAUUCGAAAUAAGAAAAAUCCAACCGAUAUUAGAAAACGCAUUGUACUAAUUGAAAAACAGGUAUAAAAUGAGCGAUUGGAUCUGGGCAACGGCCAGAGCGGUUGGCUCAGCUGUUAUCACCUGUUAGGCUCGGCAUGGCGCCAGCAGCCCACGCAUCUACCUCUUUCUCGGACCCCCUUCGCUCCUCACCGGUCUUUUAAUAUUUUAAAAUUGGCAGUUAUUUACUGAAUUGCUCUUACACCGUAGAAUUCCAUUGGGGGUUUCGUCUGUUCAACGCUAUCUUGUUUUUAACUUUAAAUUAUCUUUGUACAAACUUUUUCCUUUAUUUUUCAAACAAACUUUAUGGAAUGAUGUAUAAAAUAUAGAUACGUUUACACAUU